GAAGGAGCAGAAGGGGCCCGUGACCGCCCUGUGCCACUGCAAUGGCCACCUGGUGUCGGCCAUCGGCCAGAAGAUUUUCCUGUGGAGCCUGCGGGCCAGCGAGCUGACAGGCAUGGCCUUCAUCGACACGCAGCUCUACAUCCACCAGAUGAUCAGCGUCAAGAACUUCAUCCUGGCAGCCGACGUCAUGAAGAGCAUUUCGCUGCUGCGCUACCAGGAGGAAAGCAAGACGCUGAGCCUGGUGUCGCGGGUACGCCUGUGGCCGCGGUGCCCGUGUCUGGGUGGGUACCCGCCCAAGGCACCUCUGACGCUCCCUCCCUGCCCCAGGAUGCCAAGCCCCUGGAGGUGUACAGCGUGGACUUCAUGGUGGACAAUGCCCAGCUGGGUUUUCUGGGUAUGUGGCAGGGUCUGGGGAGCUGAGGCUCUGGGAGUGGCCGGAGCUGACUCUGGGCCUCUGCUCCCCAGUGUCUGACCGCGACCGCAACCUCAUGGUGUACAUGUACCUGCCUGAAGGUGAGUGCUUCCUCCACCCCCUCUGCCUGGGCCGGGGCUGGGCUAGCAGUGACCCUAGGCCUUUCUGGUCUAGCCAAGGAGAGUUUCGGGGGCAUGCGCCUGCUGCGCCGGGCGGACUUCCACGUGGGUGCCCACGUGAACACGUUCUGGAGGACCCCGUGCCGGGGGGCCGCUGAGGGGCUCAGCAAAAAGUCGGUCGUGUGGGAGAAUAAGCACAUCACGUGGUUUGCCACCCUGGACGGCGGCAUCGGGCUGCUGCUGCCCAUGCAGGAGAAGACCUACCGGCGGCUGCUGAUGCUGCAGAACGCGCUGACCACUAUGUUGCCA
rnacentral:sRNA from 1 species